rnacentral:lncRNA from 1 species
UCUUGAUAUGGGUGCAUCUUGCUCAUGAAACAUAAAUCCGAAUCAGUUGAACUAUUCAAAUGAUUUCAUAAUGUGGUAGAAAAAUAAAUUGCAAAGAGUAUUAGAACUCAUCAGUUAGACUGAUGAAGUGAAUACCUUUACAGUAAAUUUUUGACAUAUCUAAAAAAAAAUUGAAUUUUCUCUCAAUGGAUCUCUCUUAGGACACCACAGUUUAAAAUGAUAUAUGAAAAGAGAAAUCGAAUUUUGUUAAACAUGAUUCGAUCCAUUGUGGAUUUGCUAGUCUGUCUGAGGUUAUAUUUUAGAGACUACUUGAUAUGUACUCCAGAAUAUUUUGAGCAAAUCUAUC